rnacentral:rRNA from 1 species
GACGAACGCUGGCGGCGUGCUUAACACAUGCAAGUCGAACGGAAAGGCCCUGCUUUUGUGGGGUGCUCGAGUGGCGAACGGGUGAGUAACACGUGAGUAACCUGCCCUUGACUUUGGGAUAACUUCAGGAAACUGGGGCUAAUACCGGAUAGGAGCUCCUGCUGCAUGGUGGGGGUUGGAAAGUUUCGGCGGUUGGGGAUGGACUCGCGGCUUAUCAGCUUGUUGGUGGGGUAGUGGCUUACCAAGGCUUUGACGGGUAGCCGGCCUGUGAGGGUGACCGGCCACAUUGUGCCUGAGAUACGGCCCAGACUCCUACGGGAGGCAGCAGUGGGGACUAUUGCACACUGGGCGGAGGCCUGAUGCAGCAACGCCGCGUGCGGGAUGACGGCCUUCGGGUUGUAAACCGCUUUCGCCUGUGACGAAGCGUGAGUGACGGUACUGGGUAAAGAAGCACCGGCUACCUCCGU